GUCACCUAGAAUCUGGCUGUUAACUGUCACCAUUGCUGAGAGUCUCAACAUAGGGCAAAGUGCUCAGGGAAGCUGAAGGCUGAACUUUCAGCCUUUCCACUGACCCCGAAAGCACUUUGGGCUUCUCUGAGGACAAGCCUGCAUCUCAAGGAACUGCAUUAUAUUAUUCUGCGGAGGGAAGUUGGAGACAUCAGAGAUGGGUAGAUAUUCCCUUGCUUAUGCAGGAAGGUUUUUACUUCUAGAACUUUGUCUUUUGUAGAUUUGAUGAAACCCUAAAAAUGCUGCUUGUUAAGUAAGAAACUGCUGCUUUGACUCUUGUAGGGAAAGCACCAGGCAGGCAAAGCCCUCCAGGGAGUAAUGCCACCAAAGGAGAGGAAAAGCUACGUUUCCAAAGGCAAAAAGUAGGCCUGUGACUGGGACAACAGCCUGAAUGCUGAUGCUUUUAAUUUCAGAGGUGCUUCGCUGGACUUCUCACCAUUCAGAUAGGUUUGCUCCCUCCCCAGCCCUGCUUUCCCUCCAGUGCAACACUUGCUUCCAUGAGGAGGCUCCAUCCAGCAGUUUAAAGUGAACCUUUGUAGUCUUCUCUACACCUGGAAAAAGUGUGUCUCCUUCCAAUGUUUGGUGUGGCUAAGGCCAUGAGGGGAGGAUAUUGCAAGCCUACAUCCAGCUAGGACAAUUUGUCAGUCUUCAUUAUUGCAAGCUGUGUGGCAACACCACCAGAGUUAAGGGUCAGUGUGGCUUCCAAUUAAAACUCCCUAUCGAAGAUGGAUUUAUGUUUGGUCUACUUCAAAACACAUUGGGCUGCAACUUAUCAUUUAAGUUGUCAGGCUGGAAGCACUUUCCUUUUUGAGUGCAAAGGGUUUAAAGGUCAUUAAUUCAUUUUGCUUAAGGUGUAAAGACAUAAACAAAUGAAUAUUUAUUUAUUUAUUUAUUUAUUUAUUUAUUUAUUUAUUUGUUUGUUG
rnacentral:lncRNA from 1 species